rnacentral:rRNA from 1 species
UUUAAUUGGACUCAACGCCGGACAACUCACCGGGAACGACAGCAAUAUGUAGGUCAGGCCGAAGACCUUACCUGAAUCGCUGAGAGGAGGUGCAUGGCCGUCGCCAGUUCGUACUGUGAAGCAUCCUGUUAAGUCAGGCAACGAGCGAGACCCGUGCCCACUGUUACCAGCAUAUCCUCCGGGAUGAUGGGUACUCUGUGGGGACCGCCGGUGUUAAAUCGGAGGAAGGUGCGGGCUACGGUAGGUCAGUAUGCCCCGAAUUUCCCGGGCUACACGCGGGCUACAAUGAAUGGGACAAUGGGCCCCUCCCCUGAAAAGGGCUGGUAAUCUCACAAACCCAUCCUUAGUUCGGAUUGAGGGCUGUAACUCGCCCUCGUGAAGCUGGAAUCCGUAGUAAUCGCGUUUCAAUAUAGCGCGGUGAAUACGUCCCUGCUCCUUGCACACACCGCCCGUCAAACCACCCGAGUGAGGUAUGGGUGAGGGCACGAACAUCGUGUCGUGUUCGAACCUGUGCUUUGCAAGGGGGGUUAAGUCGUAACAAGGUAACC